CCUACGGGAGGCAGCAGUAGGGAAUCUUCCGCAAUGGACGAAAGUCUGACGGAGCAACGCCGCGUGAACGAUGAAGGCCUUCGGGUCGUAAAGUUCUGUUGUUAGGGAAGAACAAGUGCUAGUUAAAUAAGCUGGCACCUUGACGGUACCUAACCAGAAAGCCACGGCUAACUACGUGCCAGCAGCCGCGGUAAUACGUAGGUGGCAAGCGUUGUCCGGAAUUAUUGGGCGUAAAGCGCGCGCAGGCGGUUUCUUAAGUCUGAUGUGAAAGCCCCCGGCUCAACCGGGGAGGGUCAUUGGAAACUGGGAAACUUGAGUGCAGAAGAGGAAAGUGGAAUUCCAAGUGUAGCGGUGAAAUGCGUAGAGAUUUGGAGGAACACCAGUGGCGAAGGCGACUUUCUGGUCUGUAACUGACGCUGAGGCGCGAAAGCGUGGGGAGCAAACAGGAUUAGAUACCCUGGUAGUCCACGCUGUAAACGAUGAGUGCUAAGUGUUAGAGGGUUUCCGCCCUUUAGUGCUGAAGUUAACGCAUUAAGCACUCCGCCUGGGGAGUACGGUCGCAAGACUGAAACUCAAAAGUGAAGUUGGACGCGUAGAGAGUCGACCGAAGGCACGACGGAGGGUAGAGG
rnacentral:rRNA from 1 species